CAGAGGCAGGGGAGACUCGGGGCCCAGCUGUCAGGCGCAAGGACAGAGGUCGGCGCGGGGUCUCCCCGGAGCAGGAGGGAGCAGCGGGUGACAGGUGCAGCCGCGCCAUCCCCAGGCAUCCCGGAACCUGGCCUGGAGGCUGCUGUGGGAUCCGCAGCCCUGCGCGCUGGGGAGGCGCUGCAAUGACCCGGCGGCGGCGCCUUCUCCCAGGUCCCCAAAUAGAAACAGCCCCAGUGCCCUCUCUCCGACCCCACCAGGGCCGCUACCGCGCUCCUCCUUACUCAGACCAGGCUCUACCGACUCCGCAACAGCUGCUCACCCCGCUUGAGAUGCAAAAGUUUAAAAAGUACUUCCAAUUCAACUCAAGAAGAGGGCUCAUCUGGAUCCUGUCACACUCCAUCAGUGUGAAGGCCUUUCCUUUUGCUUUCUCAGCGUAUCGAGCACUUCACACUUACUCCAUAGUUCUGAACUCUGCUUCUGGGGCUACAUUCAUCUAAGUCUCUUUGUCUCUGAAUUUUAAUACAAAAGGUAUGUACAUUUACAGUUGUGAUGGAUGUUGCCAAAUAAUUGAUGCAAAUUUAAUUCCUACCCACAUAUAUGAUAGUUUUCCCUCAAUCCCUCACCAACACUGUGUAAAACUUUAUAAUCUUUGUCAUAUCUAGUUGGUGAGAAAUGACUCCACUGGUUUUUCAAUUAUUAUUAUAAACAUCUGUUCAUAUAUUUAUUUUCUUUGUAGAAAAUUACAUUAAGGUCCUACCUGUGCUAUUGACUGCAAAAAGGCAAGUGAUCAGCUAAUAAUUACAGUCCCCUGUUAUUAAAAUAGAAAUUUACUACUUCAUGAAGACUUUGUAACUCCCUGGAAAUGGUUAUCUUUGAAAAUACUGAUGCAUGUUAUAUUCUUCCUUAAAGUGCUCACACA
rnacentral:lncRNA from 1 species